CCUACGGGCGGCAGCAGUGGGGAAUAUUGCACAAUGGGGGAAACCCUGAUGCAGCAACGCCGCGUGAGUGAAGAAGUAUUUCGGUAUGUAAAGCUCUAUUAGUAGGGAAGAAGAAAGACGGUAUCUGACUCAGAAGCCCCGGCUAACUACGUGCCAGCAGCCGCGGUAAUACGUAGGGGGCAAGCGUUAUCCGGAUUUACUGGGUGUAAAGGGAGCGUAGACGGCUGUGCAAGUCUGAAGUGAAAGCCCGUGGGUCAACCGCGGAACUGCUUUGGAAACUGGAUAGCUUGAGUGCUGGAGAGGCAGGCGGAAUUCCUAGUGUAGCGGUGAAAUGCGUAGAUAUUAGGAGGAACACCAGUGGCGAAGGCGGCCUGCUGGACAGAAACUGACGUUGAGGCUCGAAAGCGUGGGGAGCAAACAGGAUUAGAUACCCCUGUAGUC
rnacentral:rRNA from 1 species